rnacentral:rRNA from 1 species
AUCCUGGCUCAGGAUGAACGCUGGCGGCGUGCUUAACACAUGCAAGUCGAACGGACAUGUAACACCGCUGUUGAUUUAGCUUGCUAUUGACGCAGCACCGUUGCAUGUUAGUGGCGGACGGGUGAGUAACGCGUGGGUAACCUGCCUUUAUCCGGGGGGAUAACAGUUAGAAAUGACUGCUAAUACCGCAUAAGCGCACGAGAGGGCAUCCUUUUGUGUGAAAAAACUCCGGUGGAUAGAGAUGGACCCGCGUUAGAUUAGCCAGUUGGCGGGGUAACGGCCCACCAAAGCGACGAUCUAUAGCCGGCCUGAGAGGGCGACCGGCCACAUUGGGACUGAGACACGGCCCAAACUCCUACGGGAGGCAGCAGUGGGGAAUAUUGCACAAUGGGGGAAACCCUGAUGCAGCCGACGCCGCGUGAGUGAAGAAGUAUUUCGGUAUGUAAAGCUCUAUCAGCAGGGAAGAAGAUGACGGUACCUGCACAAGAAGCCCCGGCUAACUACGUGCCAGCAGCGGC